CAACCAGAUACAAUGUCAGGAAUCUCCUGGUAAGGCUUCUGGCAACCAUUAGUUCUGAAUACUGAGGUUUUGAUGAGAAAUAGCUGUGAGUUUUGAAAUGUCUUUGAGAAUUUCUUGGAUUUGUUGCCUGCUAAUUGGAGGCAUAACCUGUUAUCCUCCACCUAAAGGUAAUUAUAGAUACAUUCCCCAAAAUCAAGUAAAAGUAACUGGCUACAAUGCAGCGGAAGCUACCGGCUCCCGUGCCUCAGCAGGUGAAGCAGCCACCCAUAAUGCCUCUGCAAGCAUCACGACUGGCCCAAAUACCUUAGCUGAAGCAACUGGCCACAAUGCUUCAUCAAGCGCCACGACUGGUCCAAAUGCCUUAGCUGAAGCAACUGGCCACAAUGCUUCAUUUUUUUUAUUUAUCCAUUGUUUUACCAGGUAAGUUGACUGAGAACACGUUCUCAUUUGCAGCAACGACCUGGGGAAUAGUUACAGGGGAGAGGGGGAUGAAUGAGCCAAUUGUUAACUGGGGUUUAUUAUGUGACCGUGAUGGGUUUGAGGGCCAGAUUGGGAAUUUAGCCAGGACACCGGGGUUAACACACCUACUCCUACAAUAAGUGCCAUGGGCUCUUUAAUGACCUCAGAGAGUCAGGACACCCGUU